AUUGAACGCUGGCGGCAGGCCUAACACAUGCAAGUCGAGCGGAUGAAGGGAGCUUGCUCCUGGCUUCAGCGGCGGACGGGUGAGUAAUGCCUAGGAAUCUGACUGGUAGUGGGGGAUAACGUCCGGAAACGGGCGCUAAUACCGCAUACGUCCUGAGGGAGAAAGUGGGGGAUCUUCGGACCUCACGCUAUCAGAUGAGCCUAGGUCGUAUUAGCUAGUUGGUGGGGUAAAGGCCUACCAAGGCGACGAUCCGUAACUGGUCUGAGAGGAUGAUCUGUCACACUGGAACUGAGACACGGUCCAGACUCCUACGGGAGGCAGCAGUGGGGAAUCUUGGACAAUGGGCGAAAGCCUGAUCCAGCCAUGCCGCGUGUGUGAAGAAGGUCUUCGGAUUGUAAAGCACUUUAAGUUGGGAGGAAGGACAGUAAGUGAAUAUCUUGCUGUUUUGACGUUACCAACAGAAAAAGCACCGGCUAACUUCGUG
rnacentral:rRNA from 1 species